rnacentral:rRNA from 1 species
AUGUGCUACUGGCAUCCCCCGACAGGGUGGAUCUGCAAUGGCGACACCACAGACGGUCAGAUCUACCGCUACGCCGUGGCCGAUGGGCGACCGAAACACCAUGCCACCUUGGGCGGGAAGAUCUUCCAGUAUGCUGCCUCGGAUUGGUUGUCGAGCCACCACGCCACCUCGGAUGGUCGCAUUCUCCACCACGCCGCCUGGAUGGACGGAUCAGCCACUUUGUCCCCCUCGGAUGGCCAGAUCUUCCACCGUGCCACCACCGAUGGGUGGAUCAGCCACCUCUCCCGACUUUAG